rnacentral:lncRNA from 8 species
AUGGACCGGGCCACUGUACAGGAGCUGAGGCUGUGUCUUCAGAACGAACAACAAGAGCUUCUUCACAAAGUGGCAGCCGAUCCGGAGGAGCUGGAUGUGUUGCGGGUCCAGGCUGCUAUGGACCGGGCCACUGUACAGGAGCUGAGGCUGUGUCUUCAGAACGAACAACAAGGUGAGCCUUUUCACUUCCACACCAUAGAGUUGGAAAGAAAGCCCACCCAAUGUUUGCUCAGGAUUAUAAUCCAUUGGCUGAUCCGUCUUGCUGACCUGGGUGGAAUUGUGUGACCCUCGUUAUAAUAUUAGAAGUCCCACUCAGUGAAAUGAUGAAUGCAUUCAAUUGUGCUGUCCAUGCUAAAAAAGGCUUUGUGGCAAGUGUGCCCUCUAUCCAACUCAAUGGUCCACACUCUCAUCUAGAGGCUGACUGACAGAUCAGAACCCCAUCAAGCUGUUUUGCCCCAUUUCUCCUUGUCUGAAAGAAUGUAUUGGUUUUCAAUCUCAAGCGUACUGUAGGUAUGAAGCAACACCCCAGGAUAUUGUCUUUAGGCUGAACAAGUCAAAGAGGAAACACUGACUGAGGGGUGGGUUUAUAAGCUCAUGUUCUAUAAUAGUUUUGAAUGAAAACACGAUUUAUAAUGUAUAAGUCUCUAUAUGUCAUGUAUAUCGAAAUAUCAAAUUACUUUAUUCUUGCUAUGUAACUACUGUUUAAAAAAAACGUAUGUAGAAUGUGUGUAGAAUGUACAUGUAACAACAUGUGUGUAACAACAAAAGAAAAAGCUGUAAAAACAAUGUUUAUUUUUUCCCAGAAGAGGGGGGGUGGUGUAAGGGCCCCCCCCAAAAAACACUGAAUAACGGCACAUAUGUUAGUUUAACAUACGUAGGUCGAACAUCUGUUGAACGGUAGUGUUCUGACGUGCUUGUGAUGUUGUACCUCCUCAGCUACUUUUUUUGUGGGGGUUGAACACCACAUCUUCAGUGGAAUUAACAGGACAAUUCAAUUAAAGACUGAUCAACCUGUUCUAAAUGGACUGGGAUAUCAAAAAGAACGCAUCUUCUUUGCAUAGUGCAUACCUCCCCUCCUAAUCAUAGAACAUGCAUCAAUUUGUCUGUGUCCCAAAUGGCACCCUAUUCCUUACAUAGUGCACUACCUUUUAUCAUAGUCAUAUGUGCUGGUCAAAAGUUGUGCACUAUAUAGGGAAAAGGGUGCCAUUUGGGACUCCCAAUCUGCAUCGCUUUGUCAAAUACUGAAUAACCUACUACAGUGGCCCUUUUAAUUAACAAGUUCAAUAACCAAUCUGUUCUCCAUCACUUUAAUUUACCUGGUGAUUAAUGAUGGUGUCUGUCGGCCAAAUGCAAAACCAGGGCUACAAAGGACGCCACUAAUUAAGAUGGCGGAUCCCAUUGACAAUCAAUGGCAUAAUCAGAAAAGCUGAGAUAGACUGGCUUUGAAAGUAAUGGUUUAAUAUUGUAUCCUGUCUGUCACCCAAUCAACCAAAUUAGAGACCUAUAAUCUCUACACGGCACCACCCGAGUGAAAGCACGGCUGCAGCCACAGAAUGUUUAUGAUUUAUACUACUGCCUUUCACUUCAUAAUAACAUAAAGGCCCAAUCCCGAUUUUAAAAAUUGUCUAGAAAUAUCACAGUUUGGCCCUUUUAAGUUAAUCCCAAGGAUUGAUUGUGACUAAAGUGAUUAUGUAAUUGAUUGACACACAAGAUGUAAAUUGAAAUUGCUAACUCUGAGGCCAGCUCAUCAUAAACCAACACUGUAGCAGCCGGAAUCAGGCCCUGGCAGCAGAAACCCAGAGAUCCAUAGAACACGUUUACAAGCGGCCCCGGAAUUGACUCUUGCGGAACCCUUCUGACCCGAUCAAAGGGAGAGAAAGGUUCAAGCAGCAACCCAACCCCAUCACAAUCCCGCUAAUGAAAGCAAACAGAUGAAAGACAGCGCUCCGUGGCGGAGACCUUUGUGGCUUGGCCCGUAAGGGGCGGGAGACGGAGGCGCGGAGGAGGAGGUGAUGGGGUUGAGAAGACAUUUGAGCCGUUAGACGUUAAUGAAUGCUAUAGCAUUGGGACCUCCUCCAAAGCAAAGUGACUAGAGAGCCACUGACUCCCUCCAUAUCAAGGUACUAGUGCCGAGGUGCCAACUCCCCAGCCACCCCCCAGCCCGGGUGCGAGCGGGAUAAUUGUCUCCCUAUCUGGUUAUGUACACAGCGCUGCGCGGCAGCCCUCGCUUAUUUGGGCUCUGGUCUGAUUGGAUGUGACAAGCCGGCGGAGACAAAAGAGACGGCUAAUUUGAAGUAACAAACUUCCCUUUCCUUUCCUUGGCCAUGCAAAGGAGAAUGGAGGGAGGAGCAAAGGAGAAGAGUGGAUCCACCUCUUUCUUUCUCUCUACCUCUCGCUCUCUCACCUCUUUCUCCUGCAUCUCACGACAAAAGGUCAACUGACCGGAAAAGUAGAGUGCCUGAAUAUUUAACAUUUUCAACCUCAUCUGACAAAUGAGUUUCCUUGUACGGCCAUGAAAGUUUAACAAGAAGGAGUGAAGGGAGGCGGAAAAGUUUUGUCUUCGUUAUUGUUUUGCCUCAACCUUUUUAUUUUAAUUUUUGGGGUCAAAAAAGAGGGUAGUUCACACACAAAACAGACAAACUCCUAUUCCUUUUGUGAUUUUUAAAUGUAUUCUUUCUCGCUUGUAGCAGCAGGGGAAUCUACUCACAUACUUGUUCUUCGUCUUCUUCACCGGUGAAUGUUAAAAAACAUAAUAAUGACUUGUUGAACUGCUCCCAAUAAAGGCAGAUUUUAUUCGUUGGAGAGGAGUUAUUCUACUGGGUGUGGAUGCAUGGUGGGCUACAAAGAAAGCAGGGCAGCCAGGGUUUGUGUGUUCACAGGGGAAUUGAACAUUUCUCCACGUUUGUUUAAGAUCUCCGGUGUGAGGGGGUUGUGUUUUCACCAAUGUCUGCUUUUGAUUGAACAUGCUAGUGGAUGCUUAGAUAAAAUAUAAGACCUGUAUUAUUAAUGGGGCUUGAUAAAGACUAUGUCCUGGGGUUUUAGAAUGGAAAUGGAUAUUCUAGGGUAGAUUUAUUGAUUCUAAUCCCCUAAUAUGACAAAUCACUGUCUUCAAUUUCUCUUUGCGUUGUCAUUUUAUAAUAGUUUUAGAUUUCUGAAUAAUUGCCAAAGUGAUAUAAUUUAGAGCUCUCUUGUCUUGAACUUACAUGGAGGAUUCAAAGGUUGACAGUCAGACACUGGCAAGUCAUGUGUUCUUUUCUGACACUAUUUUCAGAAAAGAACAAGUAGCCUACAGAAUAGGCUUACGGCGCGAAAAGAAAUCAAUUAGACAUAAUUCAUAAAAAUGUGUUUAAUAAUAUCUUUUUUUCCUCUUUUUCAUCUACCUAUGUGGCUGGCUGAAAGGAAGCAGACACUUGUCUUGUCUUCGUGUCACAAUAACA